AACCUACUCCCUCUGUCCGGAAAUACUUGUCCUAGAAAUGGAUAUAAUGGAUGUAUCUAUAACUAAAAUAAGUCUAGAUACAUUCAUCUUUAGGACAAGUAUUUCCGGAUGGAGGGAGUAGUAU
rnacentral:pre_miRNA from 1 species